UACAGAGGGUGCGAGCGUUAAUCGGAAUUACUGGGCGUAAAGCGUGCGUAGACGGUUACGUAAGUCGGAUGUGAAAGCCCCGGGCUCAACCUGGGAAUUGCAUUCGAGACUGCGUAGCUAGGAUGCGGAAGAGGGAAGCGGAAUUUCCGGUGUAGCGGUGAAAUGCGUAGAGAUGUGGAGGAACACCAGUGGCGAAGGCGACUCUUUGGCCUGUAACUGACGCUGAGGCGCGAAAGCGUGGGGAGCAAACAGG
rnacentral:rRNA from 1 species